GGAUUAGAUACCCUGGUAGUCCACGCAGUAAACGGUGAUCACUAGGUGUAGCGGGUAUUGACCCCUGCUGUGCCGGAGUUAACGCAUUAAGUGAUCCGCCUGGGGAGUACGAUCGCAAGAUUAAAACUCAAAGGAAUUGACGGGGGCCCGCACAAGCGGUGGAGCAUGUGGUUUAAUUCGACGCAACGCGAAGAACCUUACCUGGAUUUGACAUCUCGGGAAUUUUGUAGAAAUACGAAAGUGCCCUUCGGGGAGCCCGAUGACAGGUGCUGCAUGGCUGUCGUCAGCUCGUGUUG
rnacentral:rRNA from 1 species